rnacentral:rRNA from 1 species
AUCUUAGACAAUGGGGGAAACCCUGAUCUAGCCAUGCCGCGUGGACGAUGAAGGCCUUAGGGUUGUAAAGUCCUUUCAGCUGGGAAGAUAAUGACGGUACCAGCAGAAGAAGCCCCGGCUAACUCCGUGCCAGCAGCCGCGGUAAUACGGAGGGGGCUAGCGUUGUGCGGAAUUACUGGGCGUAAAGCGCACGUAGGCGGACUGGAAAGUUGGGGGUGAAAUCCCAGGGCUCAACCCUGGAACUGCCUUCAAAACUAUCAGUCUGGAGUUCGAGAGAGGUGAGUGGAAUUCCGAGUGUAGAGGUGAAAUUCGUAGAUAUUCGGAGGAACACCAGUGGCGAAGGCGGCUCACUGGCUCGAUACUGACGCUGAGGUGCGAAAGCGUGGGGAGCAAACAGG